CCUACGGGAGGCAGCAGUGGGGAAUAUUGGGCAAUGGAGGAAACUCUGACCCAGCAAUGCCGCGUGAAUGAAGAAGGUCUUCGGAUUGUAAAGUUCUUUAGUCAGGGAAGAAGUCAAUGACGGUACCUGAAGAAUAAGCUCAGGCUAACUACGUGCCAGCAGCCGCGGUAAUACGUAGGGAGCAAGCGUUGUUCGGAAGGAAUGGGCGUAAAGGGUGCGUAGGCGGUUGUACAAGUUAGAAGUGAAAUACCCAGGGCUUAACUCGGGUGCUGCUUGUAAAACUGUAUGACUUGAGUGCAGUAGAGGAUAGUAGAAUUCCUGGUGUAGCGGUGGAAUGCGUAGAUAUUAGGAGGAACACCAGAGGCGAAGGCGGCUAACUGGACUGCAACUGACGCUGAGGCACGAAAGUGUGGGGAGCAAACAGGAUUAGAUACCCGAGUAGUC
rnacentral:rRNA from 1 species